rnacentral:rRNA from 1 species
CAUGCGUCGCAUUAGCUAGUUGGCGGGGUAACGGCCCACCAAGGCGACGAUGCGUAGGGGUUCUGAGAGGAAGGUCCCCCACACUGGUACUGAGACACGGACCAGACUCCUACGGGAGGCAGCAGUGAGGAAUAUUGGUCAAUGGCCGCAGGGCUGAACCAGCCAAGUCGCGUGAGGGAUGACGGUCCUAUGGAUUGUAAACCCCUUUUGUCAGGGAGCAAAGGACGCCACGUGUGGCGUUUUGCGAGUACCUGAAGAAAAAGCAUCGGCUAACUCCGUGCCAGCAGCCGCGGUAAUACGGAGGAUGCGAGCGUUAUCCGGAUUUAUUGGGUUUAAAGGGUGCGCAGGCGGAAUGUCAAGUCAGCGGUAAAAUUUCGGGGCUCAACCCCGUCGUGCCGUUGAAACUGGCGUUCUUGAGUGAGCGAGAAGUAUGCGGAAUGCGUGGUGUAGCGGUGAAAUGCAUAGAUAUCACGCAGAACUCCGAUUGCGAAGGCAGCAUACCGGCGCUCAACUGACGCUCAUGCACGAAAGCGUGGGUAUCGAACAGGAUUAGAUACCCUGGUAGUCCACGCAGUAAACGAUGAAUACUAACUGUCCGGGCCGAUUGAGGUCUGG